rnacentral:rRNA from 1 species
CAGUAGCCGCGGUAAUACGUAGGUGGCAAGCGUUGUCCGGAAUUAUUGGGCGUAAAGCGCGCGCAGGCGGAUAGGUCAGUCUGUCUUAAAAGUUCGGGGCUUAACCCCGUGAUGGGAUGGAAACUGCCAAUCUAGAGUAUCGGAGAGGAAAGUGGAAUUCCUAGUGUAGCGGUGAAAUGCGUAGAUAUUAGGAAGAACACCAGUGGCGAAGGCGACUUUCUGGACGAAAACUGGCGCUGAGGCGCGAAAGCCAGGGGAGCGAACGGGAUUAGAUACCCCAGUAGUCCCUGUCUCUUAUACA